GGAGCUUCUGACAGGGGAAGUUAUAGAAACACCAGGUCCCUGGGAUAGUGGGUCCUGACAUUGGUAACAUCAUAUUACUAGGACACCCUAGUCCAGAGUGCAGUCAAGAAACUCUGGCCAAGAAAGCCAAACAUUGCUGAAGAGAUAAAUAAACAAACAAGAUAAAACUCUAAAAGAGAUACUGAAUGUGCCUGAGAUGAGUCCCCUCUCUCCACUUCAGGACUGAGAGAAGCUGGUCAAGGCCAAAAAGCUGGUUCUAGGAACCUGAGAGAUUUUGGGGAGAGAGGAAGAGAUCAAGUGUAAGGAUUUUCCCAAUCAACCUGAAGCUCAGGGUGUAUAAUCACUGUCACAAAGGGAGGGACUGCCUUUCCUGGAGGUUAACUAAAAGCAAGGAGCUGGAGGAAAGGCUGGGAAGGAGUCCUAAAGGGCUGCUGUAAGGCAGGGACAUUACAGAGUGAGCAAUGGUCUGAGGGAACUGCCUGGCGUCUAGCAAAGACAAAGCUGAACUGACACGACAACCUAAACAGCAACAACAGCAACCAAACUUCACAGAGCACUUCUCUCAUACCAGACUCUUCUCUAAUUAUUUUACGUACAUUAUCUCAUUUGAUCCUCACAGCAGCCUUAUAACAAGAAUUUAGAAAAUGUGGUAGGGCCACUUUCAAAAGUUCUGGGAAAGGAUUAUUAUACCUGAGGACUCUCCCAUUAAUGACAUUUCAUAAGAGACCAAAGCUAUUUUGGAUCCCCACAACCUCUCUAUGGAUGUAUAAAUAACAUUUUAAAUACAUAUUACUUUGAACUAGGGGAAACUGCUAGUUUUGUAGAUCAAAAAAUUGUCAAAUAGCAGAACUUUCAUAUGGUUCAACCUAAUAUAUAAAAUAUAUGUACUUUAAGGGAAGUAAGUAAAAAAGUAACAGGCAAAUACAGUAGAGUGGGAUAUGUACUACAUAAGGAGUAAGUAUUGUGCACUCUGGGAAAAAAAACACACACACAAAAGAAUGUGCUAACCAAGUUUUCAGUGAAGGAGAGCAAAGGGGAGACUUCUAGGAGGAAAUGUUGAAACCUGAAGUACAAUAGAAAACACUAAGGGAAGUUAAUCAUUAUGAGCCUGAUUCAGUGAAUCAGGGAGGCUUUAGGUCAUGAUAAAGUAACAGAUGCUGGACUUGCACUACCACUGUAAACAUGUAGAAAACUAAGAAAAAUAUGUGAAAAAAACCCACUUUCAGACAUUGAACAGCAGACAUCACAAGAUCAUAAUCACUGGGAGUAGGAAAACAAACAAGGUGAGUCCUUCAGUUGGUUAAAAUCAGUAAGUUUUUAAAGAUUGAAAGAGUAUGUUCUCUAAUUGUACAGAAUUAAAUUGGAAAUAAAAAUAGAAAGAGAUCUGAAAAAUAAACAGCUUAGUUUUAAGUAAGUCUUGGGUAAUAAAAGAAAUCCCAAGGGAAAUUUAAAAAUAUUUAAUGAACUGAAUGAAAAUAGAAACACAACAUAUCAAAAUUUGUGAGAUGCAGUUGAAGCAAUGCUAAGGGAAGAUGUAUAACUUCAAAUGAUUAUAUUAGAAAAAAAUCAAAUCAAUAAUUUAAACUUGCAUACCAAAAAGCUAUAAAAAGUUGAGACAAUUAAACCUAAAGUAAGUGAAAGAAUGAAAAAAUAGAAAUAACAGCAAAAAUCAAUCAAAUAAAGAAUGUACAAAUAAUGGAGAAAAUAAAUUAAACCAAAAGAAGAGUCUUUAAAUGCCACAUCAUGGGCUACAGGUAGAAGCCCAGAGGUGGGAACAGCUUAUAAAGGAGGUCUGCUCAACGGAAUAUAUACUGACUGCAGAGGUGCCACUUUGGUGUGUUAUCAUCUUGAACAGCUUGUUGUGACAAACAUUUCAAUAAAACUAAUAACUUCUAUCUAAACUCAUCAAAGAAAUAAGGGAAAAGACACAAAUUAUCAUCAAGAAUGAAACAAGGGACAUUAUUACAGAGUCUACAGUCACUAAAAGGAUAAUAAGGACUAUUAAGAACAACCUACUGCCAAUAAAUUCAACAUCUGAUAUGAAAUGGAAGAAUCCUUUGGAAAAAAACAACAACAACAAACGACCAAAAAUGACUUAAGAGAAGACAGAAAUUCUAAAUAGUCCCAUAUCUAUUAAAAACCAUUGGAUUUCUUAUAAACGAUAUUCCACAAAGAAGAAUCUCAACCCAGGUGACUUCUCUGGUGAAUUCUUUCAAACAUCUAAGGAAGAAAAAAGAACAGUUCUAUACAAUAUAUUUCAGAAAAUAGGGAAGGCAAUAAUACAUUGUUCUUCCACAUUAAAAGAAAACACCAGCAGCAUUGUUCGCAUCCUGCCUGCUUAACAGAGCCUUAUGGUAUCUUCAAUUCCAAGAGCAAUAAAAAACAUGUAACCAUAAAAAUGCUUAAACAUGUGCCAUAAAAAUGUACACAGAUCUUUAAAGAAUAUUUAUUUAUACCAAAUAAAAACUGGUAACAAUCUAGAUUAGCAAGAGAAGAGAAUAAACAAAUUGUGAUACACACACAUGGUGGAAUAUUACUCAGAAAUAAAAAGGAAUAAAUUACAGAUAGAUGCAACAAUAUGGAUCAAUCCAAAAAAAUUAUACUGAGUAAAAGGAGCCAGACACAAAAGAGUAUAUUUGUAUAUUCUAUUUUUAUAAAAAUUUAGAAUAUGUAAAACUAAUCAAUAAUUGUAAAAAGCACGUCAAUGGUUACCUGAGGCCAGUUGUGAAGGUGGAUGAAGGAACUUAUUUGGUGGUGGAAAGAGUCUAUUUCUUAAUAGGGGUAAAGUUUCAAAUGUAUAUACUACUGUCAAAAACUCAUCAAACUAUAUGGUUAAAAUAGCUACAUUUUAUCACACAAAAAUUAUAUCUCAAUAGAAUUGAAUUGAAAAAAAUAAGUCAGAGAAAUAGGUAGAGAUGAAGACAUUAGGGAGAACGUUAUCAAGGUUGUCUCUCAUGUUUCAAUCAGAGCAACUUUAUGGAUGGUGGUUUUCCUUACUAUUGUGGAAAGAAAUGCUGGAACAGAACCAGGUUUGAGGGAAGGAGUGUUAAUAGAACAGUACUGAAAUGUUGAGGUAAAGGUGCCUAUGGUAGUGGUGUUCUAUAAGCCAUUUUUCAGGGGGAGAGGGAAAAGAUGGGGAGCCCUGACUUGUAGCAUUUUCUGAUAUUCAUGGUAUAGAUACUUCCAUCACGUCUGAUUUCAAGCUACCAACUGUUUAAUAACCAGCUUAAAAAAUCUUGGAAAUUUAACAAUCUUUCGUGACCCAGAAGGAGCCAGCUCCAGCAAGCCACUGCCUAUGAAUCAUCAAAACAAAUAUGUGAAGCAAGAAACUGUAUCAAUCGAGGGGUUCUUUCUAGAAAUAUAGGGGAAAAGUGUAGUCAUCAGUGAAUAGAUGUUAAUAAAAUCCAGGUAUGUGGAUGCAAUUAGGGAAAAAAUAUAGAGGGGAAAGAAGAGAUGCCUAGAAUUUUACCUCAGGUAUGUUAUUUUUAAAGGUCAACUGGAAGAGAAUGGGCAAGUAGAAGAAAGUGAAAAGUAAGAACCAGAGAGGCAGGAGGAAAAACAGGAUGGUAUUUUGUCAUCCAUCCAAGCCAAGGGUAAAUAAACUAAAUAAACCCAGAGCCAUCAUCCAACUUGGCCUGCUUCACAGACCUUGCAUUAUCUUGGUUGCUGUCUCCAGAAUCACUUCACUGAGUCUCAAAAUGGUAUUCAGUUCUAUAUCGCCAAAAGAAGCUAAAGUAUAUUGAAAUGAGGAGCCAAGACUCCCAACCCCCAAACAAAUAAGCCAUGUACUAGCUCACAGAUCUGACCGUGGACAUUAAUACACACAUGCAGCAGACACUGUCAGUAGCCUGAAAAUAUUCCCUCAUCUUCUGUAUCUGCUGAGUGACUUGCAACUGUCAUCACUUGCAUUUCUUUGAUUAAGAGGCUUCUUUGGCCACUGAAGCCUGUUUUGCCCAAUGAAGGAGGUUGGAAGGGCUAGAAUGAAUGCAUCUCCCUAUUCCCUAAACAGCCCUCAAACAGUAACUGGCUGCAGUUGGUGUAUAAAUAACCCAGCUACCCAGUCCCUUUUGUGCAGUAACUCUAAGGUGUGUGUCCUAUGUUAAUCCCCCAGAGUUUCCCCCAUAGGAUAAAGCUCCAGUCACCCACAGUUGUAACUGACUUGAUAACACACCCCACACUGACUACCUUUCAUGGCGUAUUUUCUUCUUCCUCUCCUGGUGUUUAUUUUCCCUCCCCAUCAAACUACUUUGCUAUCAUAUUCUUGUCUGAGUGUCAGCUUCUGGGAAACCCAAACCAAAACAACUUGUUAUCUAUUGCACUGGGGACCUCUUGUAGUUGAUGGAUGUAGUCUAAGAGCACAGACCCAGGAGACAGGCCUAGGUCUAAGCCCAACCUGUACCAACUCACCUUCUUACUUCAGGCAUUUUAACUCUCUCUCUCUGCUUCAGUUUCCUUACCUUUAACUUAAAGGAUUUUGACUACAUUAACAUUUCCCAGAAUGUGUUCAUUGGAAGAACAUUCCAUGUUUGGAACGUUAAUCGUUGUUAUGGGGAAAAGGUGAAAGAGGAAAGAAGAUUCCUGCUCUGUUAUACACAGCAGUCUCUAUCUACUUCCCAGGAUGAUGCUGAAGUGGACGUGGAGUGCCUGGCUAAGUGUCUGACACAUAGUAGGUGUACAAAAAAUGGUGAUUGAUUUCAAAUCCAAAGCAGUUAGCUCAUGCUCAUAUAGAAUACAUCAUCAGUAGGCAGUGAUUCUUAACCUGAAGUUCAUGUACUCUCUGAAACUGUAAUAAAAAUUGUACACUCUGUGCUCCUGUGCCUUUUUCUGGGGUGAAUCUCUUAGAUUUAAUUGGAUUUUUAGACUCUCUAAAAGAUUAAGCCUUAAGCCAUGUUGUCUUAAGCCAUCUGGUCUUAUCAGUUGUUUUAAAACAUAGAAGGAAAUCAUUACUUCCUAGUUUUAAUGAUCAAACAACAAACACCUAUUCAUCAUCUUAUCUCUCUUUUAGGGGAACACCUCAAGUCUUUGUGCAGUGGUAUCUCAUUAAAAUUUCUGAGAUAUGAAUUCAAAAUGCCUAUAAGUUGAGGAUUCCAAGAAACUGCUGGAUGGAAGGAUCCUGGGUCUCUGCGCUACCACCUGAAGGAAGUCCAUC